UACGUAGGUGGCAAGCGUUGUCCGGAUUUACUGGGCGUAAAGCGUGCGUAGGCGGUUUGUUAAGUCCGUUGUGAAAGCCCUGGGCUCAACCUGGGAAUUGCAGUGGAUACUGGCGAGCUAGAGUGCGGUAGAGGAUGGUGGAAUUCCCGGUGUAGCGGUGAAAUGCGUAGAGAUCGGGAGGAACACCCGUGGCGAAGGCGGCCAUCUGGACCAGCACUGACGCUGAGGCACGAAAGCGUGGGGAGCAAACAGG
rnacentral:rRNA from 1 species